rnacentral:rRNA from 1 species
CACAUGCAGUCGAGCGGAUGAGAAGAGCUUGCUCUUCGAAUUCAGCGGCGGACGGGUGAGUAAUGCCUAGGAAUCUGCCUAUUAGUGGGGGACAACGUUUCGAAAGGAACGCUAAUACCGCAUACGUCCUACGGGAGAAAGCAGGGGACCUUCGGGCCUUGCGCUAAUAGAUGAGCCUAGGUCGGAUUAGCUAGUUGGUGAGGUAAUGGCUCACCAAGGCUACGAUCCGUAACUGGUCUGAGAGGAUGAUCAGUCACACUGGAACUGAGACACGGUCCAGACUCCUACGGGAGGCAGCAGUGGGGAAUAUUGGACAAUGGGCGAAAGCCUAUCCAGCCAUGCCGCGUGUGUAAAGAAGGUCUUCGGAUUGUAAAGCACUUUAAGUUGGGAGGAAGGGCAGUGACCUAAUACGUUAUUGUUUUUGACGUUACCGACAGAAUAAGCACCGGCUACUCUGUNCCAACGCGCGGGUAUACAGAGGGUGCAAGCUUAAUCGGGAUUUACUGGGCGUAAAGCG